rnacentral:rRNA from 1 species
GACGAACGCUGGCGGCGUGCUUAACACAUGCAAGUCGAACGGAAAGGCCCUGCUUUUGUGGGGUGCUCGAGUGGCGAACGGGUGAGUAACACGUGAGUAACCUGCCCUUGACUUUGGGAUAACUUCAGGAAACUGGGGCUAAUACCGGAUAGGAGCUCCUGCUGCAUGGUGGGGGUUGGAAAGUUUCGGCGGUUGGGGAUGGACUCACGGCUUAUCAGCUUGUUGGUGGGGUAGUGGCUUACCAAGGCUUUGACGGGUAGCCGGCCUGAGAGGGUGACCGGCCACAUUGGGACUGAGAUACGGCCCAGACUCCUACGGGAGGCAGCAGUGGGGAAUAUUGCACAAUGGGCGGAAGCCUGAUGCAGCAACGCCGCGUGCGGGAUGACGGCCUUCGGGUUGUAAACCGCUUUCGCCUGUGACGAAGCGUGAGUGACGGUAAUGGGUAAAGAAGCACCGGCUAACUACG